GGGGAAUAUUGCGCAAUGGGGGGAACCCUGACGCAGCAACGCCGCGUGGAGGACGAAGGCCUUCGGGUCGUAAACUCCUGUCUUCAGGGACGAUAAUGACGGUACCUGAGGAGGAAGCCACGGCUAACUACGUGCCAGCAGCCGCGGUAAUACGUAGGUGGCGAGCGUUGUCCGGAAUUACUGGGCGUAAAGGGUGCGUAGGCGGAAUCUUAAGCCAGAUGUGAAAAUCCAGGGCUCAACUUUGGAAUUGCAUUUGAAACUGAGGUUCUAGAGUGCAGGAGAGGGAAGCGGAAUUCCUAGUGUAGCGGUGAAAUGCGUAGAUAUUAGGAAGAACACCAGUGGCGAAGGCGGCUUUCUGGACUGUAACUGACGCUGAGGCACGAAAGCGUGGGGAGCAAAC
rnacentral:rRNA from 1 species